rnacentral:rRNA from 1 species
CCCUUAGAUGUUCUGGGCCGCACGCGUGCUACACUGAGUGGAUCAGCGGGUCAGGUUGCGCGAAAGAGUUUCCUAAUCUUUAAAUCCGCUCGUGAUGGGGAUUGACGGUUGCAAUUUUCUGUCAUGAACGAGGAAUACCUUGUAAGCGCGGGUCAUCAUCCCGCGCUGAAUACGUCCCUGCCCUUUGUACACACCGCCCGUCGCUCCUACCGAUUGAGUGGUCCGGUGAGGCUUUGGGAUCUGAGCGGAAAGAGCGUUUCGCUGUUUCUGCUCGGAAAACUCAGUCGAACCUUAUCAUUUAGAGGAAGGAGAAGUCGUAACA